GCAUAACGCGAAGAACCUUACCUAAGCUUGACAUCCUUUUGACCGAUGCCUAAUCGCAUCUUCCCUUUGGGGACAGAAGUGACAGGUGGUGCAUGGCUGUCGUCAGCUCGUGUCGUGAGAUGUUGGGUUAAGUCCCGCAACGAGCGCAACCCUUGCCUUUAGUUGCCAGCAUUAAGUUGGGCACUCUAGAGGGACUGCCAGGGAUAACCUGGAGGAAGGUGGGGAUGACGUCAAAUCAUCAUGCCCCUUAUGCUUAGGGCUACAUACGUGCUACAAUGGGUGGUACAGAGGGCAGCCAAGUCGUGAGGCGGAGCUAAUCCCUUAAAGCCAUUCUCAGUUCGGAUUGUAGGCUGAAACUCGCCUACAUGAAGCUGGAGUUACUAGUAAUCGCAGAUCAGAAUGCUGCGGUGAAUGCGUUCCCGGGUCUUGUACACACCG
rnacentral:rRNA from 1 species